GACGAACGCUGGCGGCGUGCCUAAUACAUGCAAGUCGAGCGAAUCUUUAGGAGCUUGCUCCUAAAGGUUAGCGGCGGACGGGUGAGUAACACGUGGGCAACCUGCCUAUAAGACUGGGAUAACUUCGGGAAACCGGAGCUAAUACCGGAUAAUUCCUUUCCUCUCAUGAGGAAAGGCUGAAAGACGGUUUCGGCUGUCACUUAUAGAUGGGCCCGCGGCGCAUUAGCUAGUUGGUGAGGUAACGGCUCACCAAGGCAACGAUGCGUAGCCGACCUGAGAGGGUGAUCGGACACACUGAGACUGAGACACGGCCCAGACUCCUACGGGAGGCAGCAGUAGGAAAUCUUCCGCAAUGGACGAAAGUCUGACGGAGCAACGCCGCGUGAGUGAUGAAGGUUUUCGGAUCGUAAAACUCUGUUGUUAGGGAAGAACAAGUACGAGAGUAACUGCUCGUACCUUGACGGUACCUAACCAGAAAGCCACGGCUAACUACGUGCCAGCAGCCGCGGUAAAAC
rnacentral:rRNA from 1 species